UGAACCCAAGAAUAACUCGAAAAACAAAUGGUUACAAACUUACAAGAGAGAAAAACCACAGAAAUAGCCGUCGGAAUCGAGAGGCGGAGACCGUAGUUAGAUAGCUCAAACUCGCAACGUUAAUUAGUUGAUCUGCUUUGGCAGUGAACCCAUUUUUGUAGAUUUCAUGGAUGCCUCUUAAGGACUACAUGAUUCAUAAGAACUAAGCUUGAUUCAAGAGAUGAGCCAUGAAAAUUUCCUUGGUGGUCUCCGGUUUGGUGCCAUCAUCUUCAGGAGUUGCUCUUCUUUAGUGUAUCAAUGAAUCUUUGCUGGACACAAUCAUUGCUUGAGAUGUAGUCAAGAAAAUCGUUGAAACUAAACUCCCCAUAGGCUGGUGCAUUGUUUCCAACGAGUUCAGGUGCUGGACUUAUUUUCUUGUGUAGAGGUAGACUAUGAAGACUUGCAAACGAUAGCCGCUUGUAAUAUUUGUUCACUGUUACGCGAUGAAUCACGCUCUUGUAUAUGCCAUUGCUCAUGACUUCUACUUGAUCUCCCAACUGAACUAACAAAGCUCCUUCAAUAUACGGCACACUGAUCCAGUUUUUGUUUGAGUCCAUUAUCUGGAGUCCCUGGCUGCUUUGAAGUAAGAUGGUCAGCGAGCCGAAGUCCGAGUGUGGUGGCAUUCCCAAGGUGAUUUCAGGUUCAGGACAUGCUGGAUAGCAGUUCACUGCCAUGACUUGUGAGCCUUCUUCUGUCUGUUCUCGUAAGUAAUUUUUCUCCAGUCCUAGGCUUUCUGAGAUAGCUUCUACUAAUUGCUUAUGUAGCACAUGCGUUGCCUCUGCAUAUUUACCCACCUUAUCCCUAUAAGGAAAAAGAGUACAAUCAGUUUCUACUAAGGGGUUUAUUUUUUUAUAUGUCAUAUCGGCUGAUCUGGUCAUUUGGGAAUUUCUUUUAAUUCUUUCCAAAGAAAGAUAUGUUUGAUAUAAUAUUGAGAUAGUGAUGCUACAGAUAUAUAGAUAUGUUCUGACUUACUUGUAGCAUGGAGGAUUUGAUGGCCACAUAUCAAUCCACUUCGAUAGAGGAUGAGAGUAAUGUUUAAUAAAAUCUCUCCAGUAAUGAACUCUGUCUUUUGAAUGGUUGAGGCUUGUGCCAUAUCUCACUGGCUGAUGAACAUCUGCAGACACUAGAAGCAUCUUCUCUUCCACCGGACUUUGUUCCUUGUGACAUACAUGCAAGAAGACAACAGCCAUCUUUCUAAGUCAUAUAACGUGCCAUGUUGAUCUCAUGGAUAACGCUGGAUCUAAGCAAAGGUUGGUGCAAAAGAAAGAGAUCAAGGACAGGAAGUGUUGUCUCUCUGAUGCCUAUGCUUGAACCAAGAUCUGGCCUUUGCGAUGGGGGAAGAACGUAACGGUCAGGCACUUGAGGCACACCUGAGUUGUAUCCGACCACUAAGCGUGAUCGACUAGCUUACCGGGCGUAAGUCCAUGCUAUUACAAGAUUUUUAAGCCUCCACUUAAGGGCCCCUAGUUAAGCGAAGUAGUCUGGAAGGCGAGAUGAGUCCAUGUGAAAACUCUCGUGGCCAACGCGGAUCAAACCCAGGACGGGCACUCCAACCGGAGUUCCUUUACCACUAGGCCAACACGCGUUGGUUAUUGACAAUUCGUUUUGCAUGUGGUAAAGUAUUUACCGCCUUCCAUAAAUGUUUGAGAUAUUUUGGUUUCUAUUUUUAAGGUGUGAGUGUGUUGACGUCAUUUAUGAGGGUGAGUAUCGGUCGAGAUACAUGGACCAGCCU